GGUUCGGCAUGGAGCCCUUUGCGCCUCCCUUUCCUCCGGGUGAUGUUUGGCAAUAUCUGUAGACAUUCCCCACUUAGUGCACUUCCCGUUUGGUACCAGGACGUCCUGUAUUUUAUUUACUAGAUCCAGCAACCCUACCCCCUAAGUGCAGCCAAAGGCCAGGUCCCCUGCCUAGGCCAGAGCUGUACAGGUGUCACUUCCCACUCGCUCUGCCCUGGAAUCCAGCCUCUGCCUGGCCACCUGUGCCUGUGCUGUGAGUGGCCGGGUCACCACUGUGGGGAUUCACGGAAAGCCAGCUGCCCUGUGCGAGGGCCUGUCUCUCCCACUGUGUUUGCGUGAAAUGUCCCCAACACUGGGUGGGUUUGUGGCAUUGCGAGGCAACCCAAAGAGUGGCUAGCAGACCAUGUCUGAAACCAGCCGGCAGGGAUAGGUAUGUGAGCAGCCGCUGCCCAGGACCCCAGGUGGCCGCAGGAGCUGCCCCGCCUGCCACCUCCCUCCCUCUCUGGGCGGGGUAGAGAGGGAGAGAAGAGAGACCCUGCUUCCCCGCAGCCACUGGCCGCCCAGGAAGAGCCCUGAGGUGGGAGGACAGGACCAGGAGGCCCCUGUGUGCGGUCUGUGCCGCAGCCGAAGCCCUCCCCACGGACGCGCUGGCCCUGCCCCCUCACAGGACUCUUUCUGUCCACCCUGGGCCUCCCUGGCUGCCCAUGUGGAGGCUGAUCUGACCUCACUUUUCAAAAUAAGGUGUCUUUGUCUCCUCGUUCACCACAGCACGCCCAGCGCACAGGUCUGACUAAGACCAGGCUCCAGAAAGAACCAGAAUCCUCGGGAGAGGCCGAUCCCAGGACCAGGGUGGAGACACACAGCAGAGAGGAGCUUCUCGUAGUGUCCCCCCUGCUCCCCCUGCCGCCCAGCUGCAGAGGCCCUGGUCGAGGGGCGGAUCCUGCUGGGCAUGGUGUGAGGGCCCUGGCAGGCCAGGUGCCCCCUGGGUGCCCCAUUCCUCGGCUACUCGGGGCUGGGCCAGCCGAGAGCCUGGAGUGCCCCUGGGGUCCGAGCGACCUGGGGCGUGGGCCCUGCCCUCAAGCUGACCGAGGGGCACAGCUGUGGAAAGGCAGUCGCCCGGGGCCUUCUGAACUCUGCACGCUUGGCCUGGAGUGCCUGCCUGCCAGGCUGGGUUGGUGAGUCUGUGCUGGACGGCCUUCCACACGGGUCUGCGUGAGGCCUGAGUGGUGUCCGCCCCCAUGAACAGCUGCUCAGCUCGGCCUCCUCCCCCAGGCUCCCCCCAGCCCUGCCGCACCUGGCAGCCUCUUCUGCACCCUACGUUUCUCCUCGUUCACUGAGUCUGGGAGGCCCCCAGGAGGUCAGAGCAGGCGGCGUGUCCCUCGGGGCUCGGGAACAGGGACAGCCAGCUGUACGGAGUUUCAGUGUUUUACCCAGGUGCACGGAGACAAGAAACCCAGCACCCACGGACGCACAGACUCGGGGGGCUCGUCUGGGAGCGAAACCAUUUACUCAAGGGUUAGAAACACUCAUGUGAAACGGCUGGUAAGACCCGGAAAGUGGCCGUGAUCGUCCGGCACCUCUGUGGCUCUCUGAGGACUCGACUAGCACAGCUGAAUCCCCAGACGGGUGGGGUUCCUCCUUUCUCUCCUCUCGGGCAGAAGUGAGGGACAGGCGCCACUGUCCACGACAGUCAGCAACAUUUCUUCUCCUUACGGAAAUGGACAAGACCCCUGGAUAUAUCAUACCCGCCUGAAGGCCUAGAGACCCCCUGUUGAGUCCACCCCAACGGAGGCUCCGCAGACCACUGCAGCUGUGAGCUCUUGCUGUUUAAACUAGCUAAGGGACAUGUUUGGCUUUAUCAGUCUUUUGAUUGCAGUAUCAGCGGCUGUACCGAUUGCUAUUGGGUUCAGCUCCAGCGAAGCCUCACUGUGACAAGACUGUGCACAGAGAUAGGUUGCAGGAAUCUUUCUCCUGGGAACCUGAACUCUGGGAUGCCUCUAAGUCCAUCCAGCAGUAUGCACACCUCACUAGCUUGGACCUAGGACACUCAGAGGUGGACACAAGGUCACUUCACAUGACAUGUUUUUGCUAACUGGACUCUUCUGUGAAAGACUCCUGCGUGGGAGGACCCCGCCUUCCUGAGGCCUGAGGGCUCGGCUCUCUUCUUACUGUGUCCCUGGCCACAACUGCUCUGGUGAUCCUGUCCUUAGUCGUGCCAAGGGGAGUGGCACCGUGAAGGAGCGGCAGGCCAUUGUACGCACUGAGGCUGCUGCCGUCCGGGAUGGCACCACGUGGGUGAACCAGGUGACAGUUCAUCUGAUGUGACAAAGUACAGCCUCCCCAAUAGAGUCCCCAGAUCUCGCGUAGAUGUCACUCAAAAUUAUCAGAAACAUCUAUUACGUUUUAAUUUCCCUGUUUUGAAACAGGAUAAUUGGAGCAAAAGAGCUUGGCGUGAUACCUUGCUUGGUGGAGCUGGACCUGGUUUGGGUGCAGUGAAUUCAAUGGACCUUGACAGCAUGGCCGGCAGGCUGCGCAGAGCUGGAGAUUCGGCUCAAGCUUUGAGGGUUAGCGCUUGCUCGGCGGCUGCCCGUGAUAAUCCUGCCUGGCCGAGGUGCUCUUGACGGUGACAGGCAUUUCCUGGCCUUGUGCUAUCGCCCUACCUUUUUUAAAAAACGUUUCUGCUGUAAACGGACACACUAUCUUUCUUUCUUUUCUUGCCUGGUGCUGAGAGUGGAAGCCAGUGCCCCACAGUGCCAGGCAAGUGCUCUAGCUGAGCCACGCCAGCCCAAUGGGCCCACUUUCACUCGUCAAAAUUCAGAUACUGAAGUGAGCACGUUCUUCACCUGGACGGUAGAGCCCGUGCUCCCUGACACACAUGUGCACUUUAGCACAGAAAGGGGGCGGACACGGUGUCACGUUCAGGAUGUACUGCACUCAGGUCCCUGGCCCCCCGCGUGGCACGCAGCGCUCGAUUCGCUUUGGCGACAGCACCCUGGCACCCCAUCGACGGGUCAGGUCAUCUUCAGCUUACGCCUUUGGUUCUACUUCCCCGUUUUGCUCUGCCUCCUGUGGUUGGUGCCCGUGAAGAGGAAGCCCAUGUGACUGAUUCCUGUCUGGACGUGUCCUGUGGGACCCAGGAGGGGCAUGUGGUGGCUGAGCAGGCAGGACUUAAAGAGCGGCCGUGCAGAUGAACCCGCCAUGUGCCUGCCAGCUUCCCCGAGGACCUCUGGACCGCCCUGGCCGCCCCCUCGCCACGCUCUCCUUGGGAGGACUCCGACUCAGGCUUCACAGCACCGCUCCAGCCGGAGAGCCGGAGUGCUGGUGGCCCAGCUCCAAGAGGCCCGAGGAGACGCAGAGGGCUGAGGCCGCCGGGCGAGAGGGCUGGUGCAGGGCCUGCACAAAGGAGCAGGGCAAGGUCUUCUGACGGGUCAACAUCCCCCUGUCGAAAGCGCUCUGGACACAAGCGGGAACCCAAUCCCACACCUCCCUACCCCUGCUCCUAAGCGGGAAUCCAUAGAAAAACUGAAACAGAUGGGGACAGAGGGGGCACCCCUCAAUAAUGGUGAGGAGCGUGUGGCCGGAGGAGAUGAGGAAAGAGGAAAGUCCAGAGACCAUAAAAGCAACCUGUCAAGACUCCCCACCGACCCGCAGCUCCGGGGCCUUGUCCCCCAGGACCUGUCUAUCUGCUGCCUUCGCCGUGAACCUGCGGCUGGCUGGCUUAUUAUCUCUGGGUCCUGCUCUUCAGUUCUUUUCUGAAUGGAGACAGCGAACCCAGCAGCCCCAGACGGAAACAGAAAGCUCCCUCUUGCCCUCUCCCACCACCUCGCCAUCCUGAUUCCUAACACUCUUGAUUUUGUGCCCUUUCCUGGGCGUGAUGUGAAAGGAACAGCCCAUGCGCCCCUCCCCCACUGCAUCUGCAGGACCCUCUGCUGUCCUGUCGGAGCCCCUCCUUGCUGUGGGGAACACUGUCCCCUGCAUGUACACCCCACCAUGAGCUUAUCUGCUCAUCUGUUGGCAGGCACUUGGUUCUUCCAGUAUCUGACUGUUGAGAAUAAAGUCACGCCAGGUGCAGGAGUACACACCUGUAAUCCCAGCAGCUCAGGAGGCUGAGGCAGGAGGAUGUAGAGUUCAAGGCCAGCCUCAGCAACUUAGCAAAGCCCUAAGCAACUCAGUGAGACCCUGUCUAAAUAAAAUAUAAAAUGCGGCCCAGAGGUAAAGCACCUGGGUUCAAUCCCUGGUACUGAAGAAACAAACAAAAAUAACCUCAUGGGAAGAGGGUGGUGUAGCUUUAUCAGAAAUGAUCGGUGCUUGCUGAAUCCAUCAGCUCCUGGUAGGAGUCCCAGUGGGUUAACUGUGGACUGUACCCAGGAAAAAACUUCCUCACAUUCCUAAGUGAAGUGGACUAAGCAAAGCAGCAAUACUGAGAUUUGCUGAAGGUUGUUUAUGCCAAAAGGUUGACUAAACUUUCUGGAAAUUUGCCUAAAGCUCAACCGACUGUUAUUUAGCAGGCGACUUGCUGAGAAUGUGAACCAUGGAAAGGUUGCCUUUUGAAAAACUCAUCUGAAUUCUGAAUUUUUGCCACUGUAAACUCAGUCUUACCCCUGCAAAAAUAAACAGGAUUUUCUGUGAUUUGAGGGCCUCAGAG